GACGUAGGGGGGCAAGCGUUGUCCGGAAUUAUUGGGCGUAAAGCGCGCGCAGGCGGCCUCUUAAGUCUGAUGUGAAAGCCCCCCGGCUCAACCGGGGGAGGGCCAUUGGAAACUGGGAGGCUUGAGUAUAGGAGAGAAGAGUGGAAUUCCACGUGUAGCGGUGAAAUGCGUAGAGAUGUGGAGGAACACCAGUGGCGAAGGCGACUCUUUGGCCUAUAACUGACGCUGAGGCGCGAAAGCGUGGGGGAGCAAACAGG
rnacentral:rRNA from 1 species